rnacentral:lncRNA from 1 species
UUUUUCUUACGAAGUUCGAAAAAAGAUCUAUUGAUUUGGAUACAUCACAUGCGGUCAAUCCUCCAAACUCCCUGCGAUUCCCCAUUAAAUGCCUGAUGCGUACAACAUAAGUCCAUGCCGUGUCCGGCAAAGAGUUACGUGGACGGAUCUCCAUCAAACAGCAGCCCUCCGUUCUACACCGGCCGAACCCGCCGCGCUGUCGAUCUGCUAUUCUCGGCUUCUUUCUUCUCAC